rnacentral:rRNA from 1 species
CGUGGAUUAGGCAUGCAAGUCGAGCGAGAAAGGUUUUGAAGCUUGCUUUAGAACCUGGACAGCGGCGAAAGGGAGAGUAACGCGUAGUUACGUGCCCCAGGGUUCGGAAUAGCCACGGGAAACUGUGGGUAAUGCCGAAUAAUAUCUCCGGAUCAAAGGUGUGAUUCCGCCCUGGGAGCGGACUGCGUCCUACUAGCUUGUUGGCGGGGUAAUGGCCCACCAAGGCAACAAUGGGUAGCGGGUGUGAGAGCAUGACCCGUCUCACUGGGACUGAGACACUGCCCAGACACCUACGGGUGGCUGCAGUCGAGAAUCUUCGGCAAUGGGCGAAAGCCUGACCGAGCGACGCCGCGUGCGGGAUGAAGGCCCUCGGGUUGUAAACCGCUGUCGUAGGGGAGGAAGGCUCCGUGAAGAACGGGGUUUGACCUAUCCUAGGAGGAAGUACGGGCUAAGUUCGUGCCAGCAGCCGCGGUAAUACGAACCGUACAAACGUUAUUCGGAAUCACUGGGCUUAAAGGGUGCGUAGGCGGCCAUGUAAGUGAGGUGUGAAAUCCCUCGGCUUAACCGAGGAACUGCGCUUCAUACUGUGUGGCUUGAGGGAGACAGGGGUAAGCGGAACUGAUGGUGGAGCGGUGAAAUGCGUUGAUAUCAUCAGGAACACCGGUGGCGAAAGCCGCUUACUGGGUCUCUUCUGACGCUGAGGUACGAAAGCUAGGGUAGCGAACGGGAUUAA